CAAAAUCCUUCAGAACUAUAUUUAUGAUUCAUCUGGGUUAAAAUAGGACAUCCAAAUUCUGUGUCUCAUUUGAAAUAAAUCUCAAAAAUAACGAAACUAACUUUCUGUUAAAGUACUGACUUUUAAUCAAUGCUAUUUUAAAGUUGAUACCUACUUCAAAUACCAUUGUUUCUACUCAUCUUUGACUCAUGUUGGAAGCUUUCCUUUUCUCUUGCAAGUAAUACUUGUUGGCCAUAGACCACACACAUCUUGCUAAAGAAAUGAAAUUGUGGAACUCUGAAAAUUUUCGUGGCACAUAGCCAGGCUUCUAUUAAAAAUACUUUGAAAUAUCUAGCUUUCAACAAACUCUGCCUCUAGUAAUCCUACCUAUAUGUGCCUUUAUGCCCAAGAUGUUCCCUGAAUACCUUUUGCUGAAGAAAUCCCAUAUAAAAAGAUUGCAUUCCUUAUUUGGGGUUCCAGCUCCUAAAUUGCACAUUCUGAUCAUGGAGCCCUAGCUUCAUGACCCAAAGUCACUAUUUUAAUGGCUAAAAAUAAGUUAAUAAUAAAAACAGAAACACACCAAGUUUUAUAUAUCUAAAAGUUAUAUAUCUAACUUACAGCCAAUGGACUUAUGUUUCUUAGAAAAGAAAUACGUCUGUGGAAGUCCCCUCUCUUCACUGACUAUAAGCAGAUCUAGAGUGACUCAGUGAAACCUACACAUCUAACUUUCAGAUAUCUGAAGUGAGUGUGUGGAAUCAUUCUCACCAAAGUUAUGGUUUCUAUGAGCAAGCAGACAGUUACAUGUGCUCAGAAUUUCCUCUCAAACUUAAUAAAUAUUUUAAGGGAAUAUUUAUGAUUUAAUUUCCUUUUUUUUAAAAAAUAUUGGCUUUUACAUUUCAGCUGAGCCACACAGAUGCAGAAUACAAGAAUCUUUACAAAUAUAAAAAAACAAACUACAGAAAAAUUAAUUUAACAGAUUUCAUUUCUACCUGCAAAUAAUGCAAACAGAAGGACCUUAAUAACAGAUAAUAAGGAACACUAACCAGAAAGGAAAUGACAAUCUCCUUUUCUGGUCCCCAGAGCAAAUGGAAACCAUGAGAUGAGUACAGCAGUGUAAAUAUUGGAUUUGUCUUCCCAUAAGGAAUAAAAAUGAAAGCAGAAAUUGCUGAAUACAAGUAACAGUCAUUCGUAUUAAUGUCCACCCAUUAUCAUGAAGAUAAACAGUGAAACAAGAGCAGUAUUCCUACUUUCUGCCAUUUAGAAACCAAAUGAGAUCAAGGAUUGAUACCAAAGAGAAAUAAGUGGUUUAAAAACAAUUUAAGAUAGCCUAAAGUAACAAAAUAAUACUCUUAAGCUUUUAGUUGUAUUUAGAAAUUUUCAGAACAAAAAAAAUAGGAAAAAUAAGUUAUUUUACCUCCAAAUAGUUAUCUUUUUAUGUAAUAUAUAAUGUAAACUAUUAACAGCUCACUUUCAAAAAGUAAGAAAACGUAAGAACCACCAUUUAAAGGAUAGCUGUCUAAAAAGACUUUUCAAUCAUACAUAACAAACUAAAGUAGAAAAAAAAAUGGUAUAACUCUGUUGUGGCAUUUGUAGCUUUGAUUAUAAAGGUUUUGGUGUGUGUUCCAUUUCUGAAAUUCCAAGGAGACAACUUGCUGUCUAUUAUAUGUCCUAGAAUAAAUAUGUCCUAUGACUUGAAGCUUUUGUGGGUAACAGAUCUACAUUUUGUUACAAUAUGAAUGCCUCUCUCACAUGUACUUAAUUUGUCCUUUCUUCUCAGCUGAAUCAUGGGACUCAGGUUGGAGAAGAGUAGUAUGUUAUUUUCUGGUAUUUGUCAUCCUUUUAUAUAUCUUAAAACCUAGAUAAUUUCUCAUAGAAAAACUUGAGCAAGUUACUAAAUGUCAUGACCCUGUCCACAGUUAGCAUAUAGGUUAUAUAUUCCAAAGCUAUACAUAUUUAAUACAAAAAGUACUAUAAGAGGUGGAAUUAUUGUUUGACUUUUGAUGAGAUUUACUCAUCAGAUUUACUCAUCUAGAUCAUCUAGAUUUACUCAUCUAGAUUUACUUUUUUACUACAUAACUGAAAAUUUUGAAGUUUCAUUCUAAAAUAACCUUGCAUUUGGGAUGAGGCAUCUUUUGUCACUUCCAGACUUCAGUGUAUUCAUAGUACUACUAUCCAUCAUCUCCAAAGUAUAAGAAAAAAUAAACAACUUGUAUAAACAUUAAAUCAAAGAAUACUUACUGCUUUGUGUUUUGAUAAUCUGACUGUGUUGUGUCAUCUCUUGAUCUGACAAAAUUGUUCUUCGCAAUGACACUAAGACUAACAAAACUUCUUUUUUUUUUUUUAAUCCAUGACUUGUCAGAUUUGUCCCAGAUUGGCCUUAACAAAGUAUUGGAAUUAGAAAAGUUUCUAUACUAGAUUUUAUAUGAUGCCAAUGGUGAACAACAGAAAGACUUUCAAAGGGCAACUCAGCUCACCUGAAAUCUCUGUUGAAUCCUAGAGAUGCUAAUUCUUCUCCGUUGGCUAUGUAGGAGAUCAUGCAGAUUCAUUCCCUCAGGUGGAAACGGAAAACCUUUCUUCCAACAUGUGUGGUUACCAUGUGGAGGAUAAUACAACCAGCUGGGUCUCAUAAAGUUCUGAGGAAGAAAAUUUAUGCCACUAAACUGUCACGUUCUGUAUCAAGGUCUGGAUUAUAUAACAAACAGUGAGAAAACGGGUGAUGUACCUCACAAUUAUGACUGUAAUGCCUCCUUCACAAGAAUUCACAAGAUUACAAGUCUGUAUUCUGAAGACAAAAGAUCUUAUGUUCAGAGACAUUUCUCACUAAAACCAGAAGGAUAUUUUAUGCCAGAGUAAGGCACAGUGCUUCCCCUGAUAAAGAGGAGACCAUGUAAAGGUGAUCAUCUGGUUACUCUAUAGACAACGUAAUAAUCUUGCAUAAUUUCAUGGAUUUGCUGUUUGGUGUAUUUUAUUUCUGGUGCUUCCUAGGUAGUGUACCAUCUGAAAUGAGUUUUGAGUAGUGCAUUUGAAACAAGUGAGGCAGACUACAUGGCCAACAUCUUCGUAGAGAAUAUUCCAAACUUUGGAUUAGAAUAGCGAAACCUUUGAAAAGGGAAGAACCUCUGGAAUAGAUAAAGAAAACAAAGGAUUAUAAAGAAACAGAAAAACAUUGAGAAGAGAGGUGAAAGGAAAACAGCUGACAUAGCUACAGCCAGAAACAUCAGUCACUGCUGGGUAUAAACUGAAUCUGGUUAUUAAUCAGCUCCAGAAGACCUUCACUUUUAUGUGUGUGUAAGCUGUGAAACUAUGUUUACACUUCAAGAUCCAUGCGUGUGCCAGAGCUCCUUUCCUCUCUUUUCCCCUUCCUUCCUUCCUAGGUAUUCAUUUCAGCCAAUAGGGUAUCUGGGUGUACAAGGCAUGGAAAAUUACAGCACACUCUGGCCAGAUUCUUGGCCUGUAUAAACACAAACCAGCAAACCAAUAAUGCCUGCAACUCUCUCCCAUAGCUGACUUUAAAUGUGGCCUUAGUCUGCUGGGAGAAAAAUGUUACCUGUUUAUACCAUUAGUGUAAUCAGGGGCAUGAAGGAUGAAAUUUAAGUUAAACUGGGUGUUCAGUUAUGAUAAUUUGUUUACUUAUAAUUUUUGUGUCAAUAUUAGAAUAAAGAGUCUUCUGGAGUCAUUUUGAU